rnacentral:misc_RNA from 1 species
AGUCAUCAACCCCUCCCGUUUCGUGCGGGACAGGGGAUUGGAGUUGGGGGCUUGCUGCCGUGAGGCGGCUCCCCUCAAAUGUUUCGGUCGGACCUGUGGGUCGUACUCGACUGGGUGUUGUAACCAUCCUCGCUCGACUGAGAAGUUCCCCUCUUAGUGUCCUUCCACGACCUUGCCUGUGGAGUGGCGGUCAACUUACUUUGAA